GGCUUCAGUACGACCCAGUCAGAACUAUAAGUCUCAAAGCCCCGACGAGUAGGGUGGCGUGCCGGUGCGCGUUGAAGGCCAAGACGUGAGUCAGGCUGGAGCCGCCGGUAGUGCAGAUCUUGGUGGUAGUAGCAAGUACUCUGGUGAACCAACCUGGAGCUGUGAGGUCUGGAUUAGGGUUCCAUGUCAACAGUGAUUGAACAUGGGUGAGUCGAACCUAAGCCAACUGUGAAAGCAGUGACAUCCCGACAAAGGGGCAUUACGUGCGCUGCACUUACACCCCCAAAGCAAAAGCUGGCUAUUUCUCUCUCUCUCGGUGUGUCUCUCAAAUACGCACACCCAAUGAUCGCAAGCGUGAGGGUUGUGCUCUCUUAUCUGGKAAUGCUCACACGACCUUUGGWGGUGUCCGGCAUAAAUWAKKAAGAGGCGCGCACAUACKGWGAUCGMURCGGASCGUGAGUGUGWGCGCKCUUGUGUGUCUAKUUACGCUCACAAGCGUUGACCUGUUGUCUGACAAAAAGUAUAUGGCGAAGCAAAAAAAAAGAGAGAUAGAGAGAGAGAGAUAGUGGGUGAGCGUGAGUUUGCUCUUGCAUGAGCCCCCUGCGUCUGGUUCUAUGUCUGGCGAAAGGGAAUGGGGACUUUGUUCCUUGACCGGUCCCGGCACCCUCGAUUGGCUCUGCCAAUUAAUGGUCCAUGCAAAUGGAACCAGGCCACAGCCGUCGGCAGUCGCCCGAGGAAGAGUUUUCUUUUCUGCUUAACGCACGAGGUCAUCCCUGGAAACAGUUCGGCUGGCGAAAGGGUGCCCCGUUGCGGCAGAGCGCCACGACUGUCGUGCGCGUCUCGGUGUUCCUGCCGGUCCGUGAAGACGUGGUCGAGGGGAAUGCUCUUGUAUCAACGAAACGCCCGACAAGUUCGGGACGGACCGUACCCUAUAUCCGCAUCUGGUCUCCAAGGUUCGUAGCCUCUGCAGAGUCAGACACAUGUAGGUAAGGGAAGUCGGCAAACUCGAUCCGUAACUUCGGGAAAAGGAUUGGCUCUGAGGGCCGAGCUGGGCCGGGCCUUGCCUGCAAAGCAGUACCUAUAGUGACCGGAGUUUCAGGAGUGCGAGGGGCUCUAGUAACUGCUUGCUCGCCUUCGCGCGUGUGAGUACGAACGAGUCCACCUCUCCGCUCCAACCACGAACGGCUGUGACGGCAAGGGCUCUGGGCGGGAGCGAUCGAUCCGUUGGCCUCCAGCUCGUCUGGUUGGCGGCGGUGCUCCGUCUGUCCCAUACGGCUCCAGCAGCUAGCGGCUAACUCAGAACUGUCAUGGACCAAGGGAAUCCGACUGUCUAAUUAAAACAAAGCGUCGUGAUGGCCCGUGUUGGGUGUUGACGCGACGUG
rnacentral:rRNA from 1 species